rnacentral:lncRNA from 1 species
UACCUAGCCCUUUCUCACCAUUGUCCAAUCGAAUCUUAAAUGAAAAUCUAUUUACUCUUUCAUCCACCUCCGCCCUUAUAGCAGUAUGGCAAUUAAAGCAACCCAAAAUACAAUGAAGUCGUUAAUGAACAAAAUCUGAAGCCAUAAUAGUAGAGUGAUACCAAUACAAGAACAAAGAGAUAGUUGAUAUGAAGGAAAGCCUUAUGCUUACUUGGAAAGUGAGUGAGACGAUAUGAAGGAAUGACAAUGAUUACUUGAAGGUUGAGGAAUAUUUUUUGUAAAUGAUUGCCACGUGGUGUGACUAGCAACAAGCCAGCAUCCAAAUGAUUGGAGAGAAUUACGAGUCAACUUUGUGUUUUACGUUAUCUAUAUUUUUCAAAAACAUUUAUAUUUCUCAAAGUUUGACUUCAAUCUCAUUCUUAAUUGUACAUUCAACUGCUCGCUGAUGAUAAUACCUAGCCCUUUCUCACCAUUGUCCAAUCGAAUUUUAAAUGAAAAUCUAUUUAUUCUUUCAUCCACCUCCGCCCUUAUAGCAGAAUAGCAAUUAAAGCAACCCAAAAUACAAUGAAGUCGUUAAUGAACAAAAUCUGAAGCCAUAAUAGUUAGAGUGAUACCAAUACAAGAACAAUGAGAUAGUUGAUAUGAAGGAAAGCCUUAUGCUUACUUGGAAAGUGAGUUAGACGAUAUGAAGGAAUGACAAUGAUUACUUGAAGGUUGAGGAAUAUUUUUUGUAAAUGAUUGCCACGUGGUGUGACUAGCAACAAGCCAGUAUCCAAAUGAUUGGAGAGAAUUAUGAGUCAACUUUGUGCUUUACGUUAUCUAUAUUUUUCAAAAACAUUUAUAUUUCACAAAGUUUGACUUCAAUCUCAUUCUUAAUUGUACAUUCAACUGCUCGCUGAUUAUAAUACCUAGCCCUUUCUCACCAUUGUCCAAUCGAAUCUUAAAUGAAAAUCUAUUUACUCUGAUGAGGACAUCCAAUUUUAAUUAAUUUUAGCAAUUUUAAUUAUUUUAGUUGGAACUUAGGUUAUUUUAAUUUCAUGGACUUUUGUAUUGGGCUUGGCCCUAGGUUUGCAUUAUUUUUCCAGUAUUUAAACCUAUCUUACAUUGUUAUUUGAGUUAAUGAAUUUGAUGAAAUAAAAGAGUUGGCUUCAGCCGUUUCUCCUCUCUCCCCGCCUCUGCCUUCUUCUUCUCUUCUCCUCCCCUUCCCUUCUUGUUAUUUACUAAUUCAGUAAUCUCCCUACAUC